rnacentral:rRNA from 1 species
GACGAACGCUGGCGGCGUGCUUAACACAUGCAAGUCGAACGGAAAGGCCCUGCUUUUUUGCGGUUCCCGAGUGCCGAUCGGGUGAGUAACACGUGUGUAACCUGCCCUUCUCUUUCGGAUAACUUCACGUAACUGGGGCUAAUAUCGUAUAGGAUCUCCUGCUCCAUGGUGGGCGUUGGAUAUUUUCGGCGGUUGGGGAUGGACGCGCGGCUUAUCAGCUUGUUGGUGGGGUAGUGGCUUACCAAGGCUUUGACGGGUAGCCGGCCUGGGAGGGUGACCGGCGACAUUGGGACUGAGAGACGGAGCAGACUGCAACGGGAGGCAGCAGGGGGGAGUAUUGCACAAUGAGCGGAAGCCUGAGGCAGAGACGCCGCGUGCGGGAUGACGGCCUUCGGGGUGUAAACCGCUGUCGCCUGUGACGAAGCGUGAGUGACGGUAAUGAGUAAAGAAGCACCGGCUAACUACGUG